UCGUUAGGUCUUCUUCAAAUUUGCACUAGUCCUGUCUUAGGUUGACGGCAACUUCUAAUGGCUUAUCAAGACUGUGACGAUUUAUCAGAAAUGUCGUUGAUUCUACCAGCUGGAACUCAUUCCCUGUUUGAGGCUGACGAUGGCCUUGAUAGCCUAUCACUGGUUGACGACCUAUCAUGAAUGCCGUCAGCUGCACUUGUCUUUUAAUUGCUUCAUAUUUCAUCUCUUUUGCUUCCAUCCUUGUUGGUUCUCUAGCAUCUGCUUCUACUGCAAAAUCAAAGAUAAAACAAUAAAAAAUGACAAAAGUUGCUUAAGACUUUGCAAUUAUUCUCAGUUGAAAGCCUCAAAUAUGUUAGCAUCAGCUUACAUAUCAACACCAUCAACUUAAAACAGUUUUUUUUCCUCAAGCAACUCAAACACAACUAAGAGAAUACAAAUUACAUUUGGCAGUCAACCAUCCAUAUUAUCUCAAAACAUCUUCACCAUCUCCAAGGUUAAUCAAUUUACAAACACUGUGUAUUUUAUUGAAGAGCAAUAAUGUGACACACAGGAAUCAAGAUAUGACAUCAAUUCAGCAACAACAACCAUGCAUGUACCAAGAUUACACUAUCCAAAAAAGUUAGCAACUAGCAACGUAACCAGUGUGCCCUCACUACAAAGAAACCUAUUUUUUCUCUCAUAUUAGAAAUCACAUAUAUACACAUAGGGAUAAUCACGAGACUCACUCUCAGAAUGAAGUUCCACUCAAUGUACGUCAAAUGCCAUAGGCUUUCCCUUAUAGUCAGUACCAAGGUUUUCAGACAAGUCAUCUAGGAUCACUAUAGGUCUUUUUCUUGGCUUGUAAUGUAGGCUAGGGGCUAGUAUGAUAUUCAAGGGUAUUUAAAGUGACUACGCCUCCUUGACACUACGCUAACCUCUUGGGGUUUCACUUCUUAACCUUUUUCUCUUCCUCCCUUUUAUUGAUCACACAUACUUAAGGUGGGUGCUAUCUUUUCAAAAACCAAAUUAUCUUUUUCUAAUCUUUUAUAUAGCUUUUUCUUUUCUUAUUCUUUUUGCACCACACCUGGAUUUUUAUUCUUUUCUCUUAUUCUACCUCUCUUCAUACUAAUUUUACAUCAUGCACCCCUAUGAUAGCCACCCUUAACUUAGGCUAUUUGCCUAAGUCAAGGUGCACAGUGUCCAAGGAGGACCAGGGCCAAAAUAGGUUCAUUGUGAAACAAAUGGAAAAGUGAUAGGUGUCAUGAAAAAAAUAGGCUAUUCAGGCUUAAAAUAUGGAUCAAGGGCUAUUAUGUAUACAGGGAAGUCCAUUUAGGCUAAAAAUAGGCUAAUAUCAAAAUGGCCUAUGAUCCUCUCCUAACCCCUAUCCUACAAUCAAGGCAAGACUAACCUGACAAGUUCUGGAUUCACACACAAAGGGAACUGAGUAAGACCUCAAAUACACAUGACACACAAAUAUAUCACAAAUCACUAUUUAUCCUGUUCGUGUAAUUGUUUAGCACUGAUUAUGAAGUUGCCAGAACUAAUGCCACCAAAAGAUUCACUGUGGUCACAAUUAGAUACAGUUCACACAGUAUUACGUAUAGACACUUAGAGAGGCGCUCAAAAAUCACAAAACAUAUUAACUGUCUUAUUACUUGUAUUUCUCCUAGUUAACUACAACACAUCACAAAAUAAAAUACAAUACGCCUAAACUUGCCGGCUCUACUAGGAACAAGACUCUGGGGAAAAGAGGCACGACAACAAAAACCUACAAAGGACAUCAACAUCCACAAGUAGCCCCACCCUCAACUUAAAAUCAUGCAAUAUCUCCAAUGCAUCAAACCAAAAUAAUAGAGUUAGAAACAUACAUGUGGCACCAUGGGUGCGAAGAUCUGAUGUCAAUUGCAUAAUACAAAUACAAACAACAAAAUACCUUGGGUUUCCUCUCAAGAAGCGCCUAAUUUAGUGGUGCGACACUAUAUCAUCCAGUCAUCCUUUAUCCCUCCCCUUAGACGAUUUGAAUUGUUUGCCCAUAUUUCGAUCUUUACUCCUUUUAGGUCCGUUGGGAAAGGGUGAGGGCAUGAUAAGGAAUGUUCUAUCACGCCACCUCGAAGACUUGAAACGCUUGCCCAAUUUUGCAUCAAACUUUCGUGUGGGCUUAUUGGGAAGUAGUGCGGAUCUUAAAAAAUCACUAAAUGGACAUCGAUCUUUAGGGUUCUUGGCUUUUACAAUUGGGGUUGUGGUAUACCCUUUUGGAAAGAUAAACUCCAAAAUGUAAAAAUUUUCCUCCUCAUUUUCAAAAUUCACCAUUUGCUUGGGUGAUUCGACUUUCAUCACAUCCACCAGGGAUAAUGUUGAAAAGUGGUUCGAAUGAGGACUAACUCUUACUUCCAGAGUAGCAUCCCUAUUAGUAUCUUUACCCUGAAAUGAACUAGAGUCUUCACAAGGAUUGUGCUUGAUUUUUUCUUUUGCCUCUAGCACCAUUUCCCUAAUCUUGGUAUCAUCCCUCAUGGUUGGUUCGGGUCGUUAGGAAAUCUCCAAGGGUUGAUCAACAUUAACCUCAUCAUCAAUAUAGGAUUCUUGCUCCUCAUAUUCACACUCUUCGAUUAGUCUAAAUGAUUCCAAAGACAAGAUAUCAUCUAAACAUAAUGUAGAAGAGUGUCUUAGAUGAUUGACCUCGAUAUCCAUCUCCCCUAUCUUUUCUCUUUCCUUGUUAAAUGCCCUAAUGUCUUGACGUAUAUCACAUAUGAUAUCAUUCAUUAUGUCCAUACGAUCCAACAUUAGUUGAAGCAUAGCUUCAAUGCCACUCUUUCAGUGCUUCGUUCUUCCUUUUCUUGACCAAAAGACCUAUCAAAAUCAUAAGAAGAACUAGAAUUUGGGUUAGCACAAUGGGGGGAGGGGGUAUUUGGGGAAUCACUCUAAUCUCAAUCUUGACACUACUAGAAAACUGCUUAUUACCUGAGGAUUUUACCUAGAGAAUAAUAUCGCAGGAAAUACAUGCGGAUUAACCUAUGAAAUUAUUAAAUUCGUCAAUAUUAUAAUAUAUUACCUGUGAACUAUAUAUUUGCAACAAAUUCCACAGGUAAAUUUGGCGCCAUAGUGCGCAAAUUUCUUACUUGUGAUAUUACCUGAGGAAAUAUAUUGGCGGGUAUUUUAUCUCUAGGUAAAUCCGCAAGUAUAUGAACAAAUAUAUACAUUUUUUAAAUCCGUAGAAAAAUCCCCAGGUAAUUUAUCAUACGGAUUUACUUAGAGAUUUUUUGGUGGAAAUUUAUAUAAUGGAUUUUAUUACCUAGGAAAUUAUUUGGGGAUUUUGUUCUGCGAAUUUUGUUGGGGAUUUAUUCUUGGGAAUUUACCUGCGAAAUUAUUACUUGCGACAUUACCUAGGGAAAUAUAUUGGCGGGUAUUUUAUCUCUAGGUAAAUCCGCAGGUAUAUGGAUAAAUAUAUAUAUUUUUUAAAUUUGUAAAAAAAAUCCGCAGGUAAUUUAUCCUACGGAUUUACUUAGAGAUAUUUUGGUGAAAAUUUAUGUAAUGAAUUUUAUUACCUACGAAAUUAUUUGGAGAUUUUGUGUUGCGAAUUUUGUUGGGGAUUUACCUGCGAAAUUAUUACUUGAGACAUUACCUGAGGAAAUAUAUCGGCGGGUAUUUUAUCUCUAGGUAAAUUCGCAGGUAUAUUAACAAAUAUAUAAAAAAUUUAAAUCCAUAGAAAAAUCCCCAGGUAAUUUAUCCUACGACUUAGAGAUAUUUUGGUGGAAAUUUAUGUAAUGGAUUUUAUUACCUAGAAAAUUAUUUGGGGAUUUUGUGCUGCGAAUUUUGCUGGGGAUUUAUUCUUGGGGAUCUACCUUCAAAAUUAUUACUUGCGACUUUAGCUGGGGAAAUAUAUCGGCGGGUAUUUUAUCUCUAGGUAAAUCUGCAGGUAUAUGUACAAAUAUAUAAAUUUUUUAAAUCCAUAGAAAAAUUCCCAGGUAAUUUAUCCUACGGAUUUACUUAGAGAUAUUUUGGUGAAAAUUUAUGUAAUGGGUUUUAUUACUUACAAAAUUAUUUGGGGAUUUUGUGCUGCGAAUGUUGUUGGGAAUUUAUUCUUGGGGAUUUACCUGCGACAUUUUUACUUGAGACAUUACCUGAAAAAUAUAUCGGCGGGUAUUUUAUCUUUAGGUAUAUAUAUAUAUAUAUAUUAAAUCCAUAGAAGGUAUAAUAAUCACGAAAUAAAAUAAAAAAGUAAUUUAUUUUACAUUGAGUUGAAAGUAUUAGGUAGUUUCAGAAUUAUAUAUAUGAUGAGAUUAAGGGUGGACAUUCUGUUUGUUUGAUUUGUUUGUUUAAUAUCGAUAUAUUUUUUUGAUUUUCGGAUUGACGAAAAUGACAGCUGUAAUCAAACCAAAAUAAAUUCGAUUUGAUUUGAUUUUCAUAAAUUCGGUUUAGUUAUUUUAAAUUUUUAUUUCAAUUUUGUAGAUUAAAAUCUUUCUUUUUCAUGACUGAACAUUUAAAAUUUGUGAUUUUUUUUUUAGAAAAAAAUAAUUUUUUUAAAACCUAUUUUUCAUUUUUAAAUAUAAAUAACUCAUCAUGGGUGAAAUGAAAUAACGGGAAAAUAGUAUUUAUACUAAUUAUAGAUAAUAUAUAUACACAUAUAUAUAAAUAAAAUUUAUAUAUAAUAAAAUAUAUAUAUUAUUAUUAUUAUCGUUGAUUUUAUAAUUACACAAUUUAUUUAUAACUAAUCUGAGCAUAAUUAUAUUCUACUAUAUAUAUAUAUAUAGAGAGAUACUUUUAGUCACACAAUUUAUUCAUAACUAAUCUGAGCAUAAUUAUAUUAUUUAUUUUACUAUUAUUAUUAUUGUAUUAAUCCACAAUCUUAGUCAAUGUAAUUUUCAAUAUAUUUAUUUUCAUGUUUGAUUUUGUCAAUUUGUAACAAUUUUAGCCUAAUUUUAUCCAAUUUAUUACAAUCCUAGCCAAAUUGUGUUCAAUUGAACUCAAUUUCAAAUUUCAUUCAAUUUUGUAACCAAAUUCUUAAUCUUAAGAUCUCAGUCGUUGAUCAAUAUUUAUUUAUUAUUAUAUAUUUAUUUUUAAUGUUAAUUUUAAAUUGUUACUACAUUUAUUAAAUAUCAACCUAAUUCAAUUCUAUUUUCCUAAUUUAUUAAAAUCUAGCCAUUUAUACUCAAUUUGUGUCAAUUGAGUUUAAUUUGACUCAAUCAAAAUCCUCAAUUUAAUUUUUUUAAACCAAUAUCUAAUCCCAAUUUGACGCAUCUCGUCAAGUCUAAUCUCAAUCGCUUAUCAUAUUUGAUCAACGGUCCAUAUUAAAUCAAUUUUCACUAAUAUUUUUCUUGAAAUUGGACAGCUUCAAACUAUUUUUCUUGAACCAAGGGUAUAUUGAAAACAACCUAUCUACCUUAGCAGUAAGGUCUGUGUCCCUAUACUCUCUACGGACCCCAAUUUGUGGGAAUAAAUCGGGUUAUUUAUGUUGACACCCAAUUUUGACCUUAGGCUGCUAUUUUAGCAAAAAUAUUAAUUUUAAAUGUUGAUAUUUUCUAUGCAUUAUUUUGAUUUCAAAUAAAUAUUAACAUGUCACAUUCAUGAUUAAAAAAUAUACGAUAUUUUUUUAUAUUAUUAUUUUUUACAUUAUAUAAUAUUUUACAUAAUUUUGCUAAUAUUUAUUAAAUCAUUUCCGUAAUUAUACAUGCCCAUAAUUUACAAACAUUGUCUAUUAUUAUUAUUAUUAUUAUUAUUAUUACGUCUUUCCUACAUUUAUUAAAUAGCAACCUAAGUCAAUUCAAUUUGCCCAACUUAUGUAAUGUCUAGCCUAAUUCUUAUUCAAUUAAUAUCAAUUUUACUCAAAAUUGAUAUUAAUUCAAGCUGAAUAAACUUUAGCUUGACUCAAUUUUAAAAAUACUUGUGAAGCUCACACGAGCUGAUCAAGCAGUUAAAUAUGAUAUCAAAGAUGUAUUUGAGCUGAUCAGCAAUCUUAGCGUGGCUUGUUAUUGAGAUCAAGAAAUUAAUGGUCAUCAAUUUUUCUGACCCCUUUUUAAAUAACUUUAAUCUCAGCCAUUAAUAAAAAUCAAUCCAACGGCUGAGAUCAAAUUUUUCACUCCUCUCCUUUUAAACAAAACAAGAAACCCUACUCUCAUUUUCAGUAAAAACAUCUGCCUCUCUCCCUAUCUUCUCUCUCUUUUCUUUCUCUACACUUCCUCUCUCUAAAACCAAAACAAUUGAUGCCGCCUCCUAGGGGUGUACAUAGGUCGGGUCGAUUUGAUUUUUAUUAAAAAAAAAACCAAACCAAUCAUGUCGGUUUAUUAAAAUUAUAAACCAAAUCAAACCAACAUAAAAUUGGUUUUUUCGAUUAAGGUUUUAGGCGAUUUUUUUGGAUUUUUUAUUUUUUUCGUUUUUUUUAAUUUUUUUAUAAUCUUUAGUUUUUACAAUUAUAUUGUGAUCGAAGACUAGAUCAAAUAUUUUUCACUCAUGUGUUAAUGAAAAAUCAUAAUUAUGAAAAAAUGAGGAGCGAAAAACUCUCUUGAAACUAAAAAGUGAGAUGGAGAGUGAAAAGUUUAGGUUUUAAGUUUAUAUUGGGUUUUCGAUCAUUUAAUUAGUAAUUAAUGGAUAAAUAUUACAACUUAAAGGCACAAAUCUAAAUAUAUAUCUACAUCUACUUUCAAAUUAUUGAAAAUUAGUAAAACUAGUUGAAAAAGUUUUUAAAAAGUAGAUUAUAGUUAAUAUUUUACGUAUAAAAAAGUUUGACUAUUAUAUAUAUAUAUAUAUAUUAUGUCGGUUUGAUUUUGGUUCGGUUUGCCUUUUUGUUGGUUAACACCAAACCAAAUCAAGAAUGGUGGUUUUUUUUCUAACGCCAAACCAAUCAAACCAAAUCAUAAGUCGAUUUUUUUUUAUCAGUUUGGUUUAGUUCGGCGGUUUGGUUUGACUUGGCGGUUUGGUCUGUACACCCCUACCGCCUCCACCGUCUUCAUCGUCGACCACCUUUAAGUCGUUUUCUCCUCCCGUCACUAUUACCCUGUCUACCACCGGCAAAUUCAUUUGCCCUGAUCGUAACAGUGACUUUGUCGAAGAAUUAGAAGACCCCAACUCGAUCCCCAAUCUGACCCGCUUGCCCGAACCGGUUGCCUCUAUGUUGAGUAAUAUUUUUAUUGCACAACUCGUGUCUUGUUUGUUGGUUUGAGUUGCCAACCGAUGACCCUGAGUACGAGAAUAGGGAAAGGGAGAAUUAUGAGAACACGAGUGGUGGUAGGUCGGGUUGUGGAAGGAGGUUUGCUACUGUGUCGCUACCGUGGCUAUUUGGGAUGUUUGGAUCAGCUUCAUCCUCUAGCCAGGGAGGAGGAUCAGGGUCUCGUGGACAAUAGGACAGGGAGUCGAAUUAGGUAUGUAUAUACAUAACUUUGAUCUUCUUGAAUAUGUUGUGUUUGUUUAGUUCAUUUGAGUUAAAUUUAUAUACUUCAAAUUGCUGAUCAAAACGGACUAGGAUAGAAGGUUAAUAGGUAGUCAUGUGUUGUUUUGCUGUCUAUUCAUAUUAGUAGUCCUAGUAUACUUGAAUUGCUGAUCAAAAUGGACUAGGAUAGAAGGUUAAUAGGUAGUCCUGUGUUGUUUUGUUGUCCAUUCAUAUUAGUAGUCCUAGUAUUGCUCCUUUUGUUUCUUGUCCUUCAAUUUCUAUUACUAUACGUUGUUUCUUGUACUCUGAUUAUUGUAUUAUUUUGUUGAAGUAGGGCAUUGUUGUUAUUUGCUGACUAGAACAGAAGUUUAUCAACUCGACUUUAGGUGUUGAUAUAAUUCUCAAAGAGCUAUUUUUUAGGUGUUGAUAUAAUUUCUGAAGGGCUGGUUUUUAUAUGUUGAUAUAAUUCCCAAAGGACUGGUUUUUAGGUGUUGAUAUAAUUCCCAAGGAUUGGUUUUUAGGUGUUGAUAUAAUUCUAAGUUGUUGUGUGAAUCAAAAAUAUGUAAAGUACUAUGUUUGUAAAAAGCAGUUCACUACUCUCACAUUAUCAGAUAUGGCUUUACUAGACUAGAGUUUGGCAUAUUUGAGCUGGAAUGGUGUUGUAAAGCUUCUGAAUGUUUCACAAAUUGUUGAUAAAAAUCCUUGACUUCGUAUAUGGAGUUUCCAGAGUUCAUUUGAUUAGGACAUAUUUAUGCUAGUGGCCAUUCUCCAUCAGGUAUAUCACUAAUUUCUUCCUGGUGAAUUUUUUAAGUGCCAUUUUUUCUCCUUUGUCUCUUGCAGUAAGAAUAUGAAUUCUUGGUAUUUUAAAAUUAUGAUAAGUUUUGUAUCUAAAGUAGACUCACUCAUCAUUUAUUAAAGAAAAAACAGUUGUGAAAAUUUCAAGCAUUUAGUUGAUAUAAUAUGGAUACCUUAACUUAAUCUGUUUGACAUCAGUACUAGCGAUGGUAAGUUUGUGGUUUUUUAGGCAUGAAUAUUUGCUUUUAGAACAAAUAUCCCUCUCUCCCAUUAAUAGGCUCUCAAACCCCAGGAACAGGGUGAUGUGGAUGCCUUUACUUGAUAUGUUUCAAGCCAAUUUAAUUAUCAAAUAUCUUCUUGGUUCUACACAUCUUAAUCUAUUGGAGAGCUGAUUAAGAAGAAAAAUAGCUUCUGUUAUCUUUUAAUGGUAUUCCAUAUUCUCUUUUAGGCAACCAAUAAGAAGUUUGCAAUUGUCCAGCAAGGGCAUAAACCUACUAUUGGAUUGCUCUAUUAAGAGAAUAAAAUCUAUAUUAAGUCAGUUGUAUGUUCUUCAAAUGUUGCACCCGAGUCCCUCGAUCCUUUUCACAGGACUAGUACUUCUCUAAACUAAGGAGUACGGCAUAAACUUCGUGAAAUUAUCCCGAGUCAACUGUGAAACAAUUGUCCUCCAAACAGCUCCAUAACCCUAUUUUUCAUUUUAUACAGUUUAUAAAGUCUCUAAGCCUCGCAAAUGCGAUUUUUAAGUCUAUAGAAUAAUUGCUUGUUUGAAAGAAAUAUGAAGCAAAUUUGGGAAAUUAGUUGUCAAGAAAAACUCCGUUAAGCCAAAAUAGUGCUGGAUCUAUAUGGUGUUGUGAUACCUUAGGGAAAUUCCACACCGGAAGGUAGAGAAGAGUGAAGUGUUAUAUAAGAAAGAGCACAAGUUCAUACGGUUAUUUUGGACAAAAUGGACAAUACGUACCAUGUGCUUGGGCUAUAACAAGUAUGACUUAGAGUGAAAUCCUUGCAGUACGAAGGAGGGGCAAAUAUCGGCAAGGAUGUUGAGUCCCUAAGGAGGGGUGUAUGACUCUUAGGAUGGAAGUUGGGGUGAUGAGGGUUGGUAAAAAAGAGGAACGGAUAGGCUUCUUAGCUAGCACUUAUUAGAAGAAGGGAGAAGGGAUGCACAUAACACUUUAAGACAAAUCCACAUUAAAAAUGGAGUGAAGAAUGAACUACUAGAUCACAAGUUCUUUUGGUACACGUACUCUUGGACUCGAUGAUGGCAACCAAAGGAACAAAUCCAUGAGAUUCGUUAAGCCAAGACGGAUAGUACGUGUCAUGGGCUUGGCCCUUGGGUUGUGACCAGCUUCAAGGCAAGUAAUAGUUUCUCUUUUCUUAUGGCUAAAUUCCUAAUACACUUGUGUGCAAAUAGAGUUCAGCGAAUAUAGCUCGAGGAUAAAGUGAAACAAAAAACAUGACUAUGUAUACACAAUGCAUAGAACAAAAUUCCUGAGCAUGUACUAGGAAAAUCAAAGUAUCUUACCUACUGAAGGAACCCAAUAAUCUUUCUAAGUGUGCUGAUCAAAAUAUUUAAGAAAAGAAGAAGAGAUAGAUUGUUGUAUACUGACUGGCUUGUAUUUCUUAGUGUUGUCAUCAUUCGUCUCUAUGGAGCACAUAAUUCAUUUCUUCCAGUAAUAAUUCUAGUUAAACAUAUUCAUUAUAAAGGUAUCAAUCAUCUUCCAUAAGAUAGGGAAACAAAUUUUCGAUCGAUCAACUAUUCUUCACCAAAGUCUUACUUAAUAUAAAGUACGCUCAUUGUAGUACAGAAUACUGGAAACUUGAAUUUAUUUGGAUGAAACAACUGCAGAACUUAUCAAGAAUCAGGUAAUCCAUCAAAGCUUCCACUGGGAUCAUCAGUGAGAAACAUAUAUAAAUCAUGCUUAUAGGUACUUGGAUCUUGUAUCACUAAGCCCCUAAUGUGUAAACCUGGUUCUUUUUCAAGGUCAAGUGCGUGGAGAUUUUAUUUUUGAUAAUGGAUAGAGGUGAGACUUGAUACCAUGUUGAAGUUUAUGACCAACACACCUAAAAGCUUAAGCUUUUGGAAAGAGCUCACCUUUAUAUACUUAAUUAUAUCUUUAACAAGUAAAUUUACAGAAACAUACUUCCUUGAACAACAAUAAUUUAUCCAAAGUUCUUGUCCUCAUUUUAUUUUUAUUCAAUUCACUACUUAAUUAGUGAGUCUUGUGGCCGGGGUCUAGUCUUGAACCGGGGGUCUAUCGAAAAUAGCCUCUAUACUUCUUCGGGGGUAGUGGUAUGGAUUGCGUACAUUUUACCCUCCCCAGACCCCACUAUAUAGGAAUAUACUAGGUUUGUUGUUGUUGUUGUUGUUAACCCAUAAACCUAAAAUAACGUGUAGUAGUUCACGAUAGUUUACUGAUAGCAAGACGACUUAUAGGACUUCCCAUCUAUCUAUAUUUCAAAUUAUGCACGGUAGAAAUUCAGUUGUGCUAAUGUCAUUGCAAGCUUAACCUGCUUACGUUCAACAAAAAACACAUCUUAUACUUUCUCACCACUAUCUUUGCUGUACCAACUUUCUUCUGAAAGUAUCUGUUGUUCCUUUCUGGCAAGAUUUGGUAUAUGCACUAUGCUAAUAAUAUAUUUCUACUAUGCUAAUACUAUAUUUCUUACCACUUUUUAUGGUCUGACUUAACAUAUCCUUAUGCAGAAUGAGUUUGAAAGAAAGAAAUAAUAAAUAUUAGUUGCUCAAAGUGCAUCAGCUGUAGAUGGAGAAACUAAUUCAGCUAGUCAGCCAGCUCAGUUAAGUGAAAUGGAUAUCUGGGUGCAAUCUGUUGGUGGAAAGAAAAAUGGAAGAGUCAAAGGUCUUGGCUCCCUGGGUCGAAGUGUAGAGGCAACUAAUAGUUCAACAUCAACUUUACCUAAAGAAAUUAAUGAGAUGAUUAAGUCUUUAAAUAUUUUGUUUUGGACCAUUUAAUGUAAUGGAUGUUUUGAAUUAUGCUUUUUAGAUGUAAUGGUUUACAUUAAACUUGUUUUGAAUGAUGUUUUUGAGAAUUAUUGAAGGUUUUAAAUAUAUUUUUGAUUAAUUGUGAAAUGUUUCUAGUAAUUUAUGUGUAAAUUAUUUUUGUGAAAAUUCGUAAGUAAAAUUCUUUUUUAAUGAAAUUUUAUCAAAUAAUUCAUUUACAAUUUUGCUAAUUAAUCGCAAAUAAAUUCACAAAUAAAAUCUAUAUUAAGUCAGUUGUAUGUUCUUCCAAUGUUGCACCAAAGUCCCUCGGUUCUUUUAACACGACUAGUACUUCGUGAAAUUAUCCUGAGUCAACUGUGAAACAAUUGUCCUCCAAACAGCUCCGUAACCCCAUUUUGAUCCUCCACGAUACCAUAUACAUGUGGUAAAAUAGUGAAAGAAAGUUUAUGUCGUACUCCUUAGUUUAGAGCACUAUUCUAUUAGUAUAGAAAGUCUUUUGGAUCAGUCUAACCAAGAGUUUUUCAUUUUAUACAGUUUAUAAAGUCUCUAAGCCUCGCAAAUGCGAUUUUUAAGUCUGUAGAAGAAUUGCUUGUUUGAAAGAAAUAUGAAGCAAAUUUGGGAAAUUAGUUGUCAAGAAAAACUCCGUUAAGCCAAAAUAGUGCUGGAUCUAUAUGGUGUUGUGAUACCUUAGGGAAAUUCCACACCGGAAGGUAGAGAAGAGUGAAGUGUUAUAUAAGAAAGAGCACAAGUUCAUACGGUUAUUUUGGACAAAAUGGACAAUACGUACCAUGUGCUUGGGCUAUAACAAGUAUGACUUAGAGUGAAAUCCUUGCAGUACGAAGGAGGGGCAAAUAUCGGCAAGGAUGUUGAGUCCCUAAGGAGGGGUGUAUGACUCUUAGGAUGGAAGUUGGGGUGAUGAGGGUUGGUAAAAAAGAGGAACGGAUAGGCUUCUUAGCUAGCACUUAUUAGAAGAAGGGAGAAGGGAUGCACAUAACACUUUAAGACAAAUCCACAUUAAAAAUGGAGUGAAGAAUGAACUACUAGAUCACAAGUUCUUUUGGUACACGUACUCUUGGACUCGAUGAUGGCAACCAAAGGAACAAAUCCAUGAGAUUCGUUAAGCCAAGACGGAUAGUACGUGUCAUGGGCUUGGCCCUUGGGUUGUGACCAGCUUCAAGGCAAGUAAUAGUUUCUCUUUUCUUAUGGCUAAAUUCCUAAUACACUUGUGUGCAAAUAGAGUUCAGCGAAUAUAGCUCGAGGAUAAAGUGAAACAAAAAACAUGACUAUGUAUACGCAAUGCAUAGAACAAAAUUCCUGAGCAUGUACUAGGAAGAUCAGAGUAUCUUACCUACUGAAGGAACCCAAUAAUCUUUCUAAGUGUGCUGAUCAAAAUAUUUAAGAAAAGAAGAAGAGAUAGAUUGUUGUAUACUGACUGGCUUGUAUUUCUUAGUGUUGUCAUCAUUCGUCUCUAUGGAGCACAUAAUUCAUUUCUUCCAGUAAUAAUUCUAGUUAAACAUAUCCAUUAUAAAGGUAUCAAUCAUCUUCCAUAAGAUAGGGAAACAAAUUUUCAAUCGAUCAACUAUGCUUCACCAAAGUCUUACUUAAUAUAAAGUACGCUCAUUGUAGUACAGAAUACUGGAAACUUGAAUUUAUUUGGAUGAAACAACUGCAGAACUUAUCAAGAAUCAAGUAAUCCAUCAAAGCUUCCACUGGGAUCAUCAGUGAGAAACAUAUAUAAAUCAUGCUUAUAGGUACUUGGAUCUUGUAUCACUAAGCCCCUAAUGUGUAAACCUGGUUCUUUUUCAAGGUCAAGUGCGUGGAGAUUUUAUUUUUGAUAAUGGAUAGAGGUGAGACUUGAUACCAUGUUGAAGUUUAUGACCAACACACCUAAAAGCUUAAGCUUUUGGAAAGAGCUCACCUUUAUAUACUUAAUUAUAUCUUUAACAAGUAAAUUUACAGAAACAUACUUCCUUGAACAACAAUAAUUUAUCCAAAGUUCUUGUCCUCAUUUUAUUUUUAUUCAAUUCACUACUUAAUUAGUGAGUCUUGAGGCCGGGGGUCUAUCGAAAAUAGCCUCUGUACUUCUUCGGGGGUAGUGGUAUGGAUUGCGUACAUUUUACCCUCCCCAGACCCCACUAUAUGGGAAUAUACUAGGUUUGUUGUUGUUGUUGUUGUCAACCCAUAAACCUAAAAUAACGUGUAGUAGUUCACGAUAGUUUACUGAUAGCAAGACGACUUAUAGGACUUCCCAUCUAUCUAUAUUUCAAAUUAUACACGGUAGAAAUUCAGUUGUGCUAAUGUCAUUGCAAGCUUAACCUGCUUACGUUCAACAAAAAACACAUCUUAUACUUUCUCACCACUAUCUUUGCUGUACCAACUUUCUUCUGAAAGUAUCUGUUGUUCCUUUCUGGCAAGAUUUGGUAUAUGCACUAUGCUAAUAAUAUAUUUCUACUAUGCUAAUACUAUAUUUCUUACCACUUUUUAUGGUCUGACUUAACAUAUCCUUAUGCAGAAUGAGUUUGAAAGAAAGAAAUAAUAAAUAUUAGUUGCUCAAAGUGCAUCAGCUGUGGAUGGAGAAACUAAUUCAUCUAGUCAGCCAGCUUAGUUAAGUGAAAUGGAUAUCUGGGUGCAAUCUGUUGGUGGAAAGAAAAAUGGAAGAGUCAAAGAUCUUGGCUCCCUGGGUCGAAGUGUAGAGGCAACUAAUAGUUCAACAUCAACUUUACCUAAAGAAAUUGAUGAGAUGAUUAAGUCUUUAAAUAUUUUGUUUUGGACCAUUUAAUGUAAUGGAUGUUUUGAAUUAUGUUUUUUAGCUGUAAUAGUUUACAUUAAACUUGUUUUGAAUGAUGUUUUUGAGAAUUAUUGAAGGUUUUAAAUAUAUUUUUGAUUAAUUGUGAAAUGUUUCUAGUAAUUUAUGUGUAAAUUAUUUUCGUGAAAAUUCGUAAGUAAAAUUCCUUUUUAAUGAAAUUUUAUCAAAUAAUUCAUUUACAAUUUUGCUAAUUAAUCGUAAAUAAAUUCACAAAUAAUGUACCUGUGGAUUUAUUUCCGUAGCUAAAUUAUUUAGGGAUCUACUUGACAAUUUUUGUGGGAAAUAAUUUGUGAUUUUUGCAUGAAAAUCCGCAGGUAAAAUUCCUUUUUUAUGAAAUUUUACCAAAUAAUUCAUGCAAAUUUUUGAUUGUUAAUCUCAAAUAAAUCCGCAAAUAACGUACCUGCGGAUUUAUUUCUGCAACUAAAUUUCCUAGGGAUUUACUUAGGAAUCUUCAUGGGGAAUAAUUUGUGAUUUUUUUCGUGAAAAUCCGCAGGUAAAAUCCUUUUUUAUGAAAUUUUACCAAAUAAUUUAUGCAAAAUUUUGAUAGUUAAUCACAAAUAAAUCCGCAAAUAACUUACCUGCGGAUUUAUUUUUGCAGCUAAAUUACUUAGGGAUUUUAUAAUCCGCAGGUAAUAAUUAUCUAUGAAGGUAUUUCCUUUGGAUUCAAAUUGGCAAGAAAAUCCACAGGUAAUCAAAUUACCUGCGGAUUUUACCACAUUAUCCUUGUGAAAAUCCCCAGGUAAUAAGCAGUGUUCUUGUAGUUUGACCACCACAUAUAGAACAAUCAUACUCCCGAUAGGAUGGAGAUGGUGCACACAUCUCUCUUUGGGGAGCAUAUCUACAAUCUUGCCAAAAUUGAGGUCCAUCACAAUAUGGACAUGGAUCAUCAAGAUAAGAUUUCCAACCACCAAGAUCAUGUUCAUUCCAUGAUGCCAUCGUAAUAAGUAAACUAAAAUAAAAAUCUACCUAACACAAGAAAUAAAAGAAAAUAAAAAACAAAUAUUUACAAGUUUGAAUUCAAAUAAGUAGGCUAAAAUUUCAAGCCAACUCAAUACGCCAAAUUGUUCCCCGGCAGUGGCACCAUUUUUGAUAACGCUCAACUUACACGUCAAUUUAGUGCAAGGCGGUCAUCGUUAAUAUAUUUAUCCAACUUUGAAGUCGGGGUCGAAUCCGCAGAAAACAAUGUGAGUGACGAUUAAACUAGUUUGAAACUAAAGCUACAAGUUAAAUUCAAACAACUGGCAUGAAAAGAUAAAAUAGGGGUUUUGAGUUUAACAAGUAAUUGUUGGUUGCUUUGAUCAGUGUUUGUAAAUCAAGAGUUAAUGAAAUAACCAGAAUUAUGUUCACUAGGGCUUCCGGUACAUGACAGAUGCUAAAAGUGGUUCAAGAUUCUCAUGGUGGGUAGGAUGACAAGCUAUCUUUAUCAAUGUUAUGCUUAAAUAUCUUUCGACCUACUAAAACAUUUAAUUCCUUAAUCCUCUCGGACUUAGGAAAUUUCUAUUUACUGUCCAAAUUUUACCUUAGGUUAACCAACCUUGUUACAACGCUGAUUAUUAAACGAAGUAUUUUUGAGUCCCUGUUGAUAAUUUACUUCCUAGUAUAUUUGAUUUCUUUCUCAAGCAAAUCAAAACAGGUGUGUCUACUGUUUGCAACCAACAGACGUUAAUUAAAAUUUUAGAAUUAUUAAGAAAUCCUACCACCUGUUGAAUCUUGAAUACUUAACACCUCAUCAAGACCGAACCCUAGAUCCCAUAACUCAGGUUAAUGGAGUUUAGUCACUCAUGAUGUAACGAACGAAACACAUAAUUGAAUUCAUGAUUUGAAAGAUAAACUUACAUAGAUGAAUAAUAACUAGUGAAUCGCAAAUUAGAUCACAAAGGAAAAAUCUCAAAAUACUGAUAAUAAUCUCUCAAAAAUAUUUGCUUUUUCAAGCCAAGAAAUUAGAGAGAAAAUAUCAAAAGUAUUGUCAAAACUCAAUGUGCGGAUAUCUCUAGAAAAUCCUAAAACAAAGCUUUAAAUAGUUCACCCUAAAUAAGGAAAUAAAAUCAAGGUUACAAAUUUUUCUCAGAAUAGACGACGACUAUUGGUAAAGCCUUAUCAGGAUCUUGACGACUUAUCAAGAAUGUCGUCAGGUCUUCUUCAAAUUUGCACUAGUCCUAUCUUAGGUUGACGGCAAAUUCUGACGGCUUAUCAGGACUGUGACGACUUAUCAGAAAUGUCGUCGAUUCUACCAGCUGGAACUCAUUCCCCGUUUGAGGCUGACGAUGGCCGUGAUAGCCUAUCACUGGGCUGAUGACCUAUCAUGAAUGUCGACAACUGCACUUGUCUUUUAAUUACUUCAGAUUUAAGCUCUUUUUCUUCCAUCCUUGUUGGUUCUCUAGCAUCUUAGCUUAUACU
rnacentral:lncRNA from 1 species